CUUUGGGAAAACUGGGGCUCCCCAAACCCCUUGCUAUGAAUUUUUAAACAACCGUAUUAAAAGUUCUAGAACGUUAUAGCAUGUAACAGCGCAAAUAAAUAUACAACUUUCACCAACGGAUCUCUUGGCUCUCCCAUCGAUGAAGAACGCACCGAAAUGCGAUAAGUAAUGUGAAUUGCAGAAUUCAGUGAAUCAUCGAAUCUUUGAACGCACCUUGCACUCCUUGGUAUUCUGAGGAACAUGCCUGUUUGAGUGUCAUGAAGCUCUCACUGCUUUACUUUUUAUGGUGAAGUGAAGUUGGAUUUGGAGGAAUGAUUAUUGCUGGCGUGACCUUUUCAAGUUGCUUGUUAACUCCUCUUAAAUGGAUGAACUUUCCAGUACUAAAAUAACACCAAUGUGAUAAUUAUCUACGUUGGAUGUGCUUUUUACAAGGAA
rnacentral:misc_RNA from 1 species